GCGCCGGUGGUGUAAGGCGAACAUCGCUGCCCGGAAAGUAGAAGAUGCGGGUUCGUGUCCCUUCUGGCGCA
rnacentral:tRNA from 1 species